rnacentral:misc_RNA from 1 species
AAUUGCAGAUGGAUGCUGAGCCUCAGUUAUUUAAAUAAAGGAAGUAAGGCUUCCAAUAUGCUCGUUUAGUCCUUCAUUUGCUCUUUUUCCUAGUGAGUAUUUUCCGAAACCAGUACUUAGAAAAAUUCCAAGUUUUCUAUAUCCCUUUUGGCACUGCCUAGCAAAGGGUGUGCAGAAAGUCCACCAAAAUAAGGAGAUUUGAAUAUUCAAUCAGUCAGUUG